rnacentral:rRNA from 1 species
AGGGAAACCGAGUCUUAACUGGGCGUUAAGUUGCAGGGUAUAGACCCGAAACCCGGUGAUCUAGCCAUGGGCAGGUUGAAGGUUGGGUAACACUAACUGGAGGACCGAACCGACUAAUGUUGAAAAAUUAGCGGAUGACUUGUGGCUGGGGGUGAAAGGCCAAUCAAACCGGGAGAUAGCUGGUUCUCCCCGAAAGCUAUUUAGGUAGCGCCUCGUGAACUCAUCUUCGGGGGUAGAGCACUGUUUCGGCUAGGGGGUCAUCCCGACUUACCAACCCGAUGCAAACUGCGAAUACCGAAGAAUGUUAUCACGAGAGACACACGGCGGGUGCUAACGUCCGUCGUGAAGAGGGAAACAACCCAGACCGCCAGCUAAGGUCCCAAAGUCACAGUUAAGUGGGAAACGAUGUGGGAAGGCUCAGACAGCCAGGAUGUUGGCUUAGAAGCAGCCAUCAUUUAAAGAAAGCGUAAUAGCUCACUGGUCGAGUCGGCCUGCGCGGAAGAUGUAACGGGGCUAAACUGUGCACCGAAGCUGCGGCAGCGACGCUUAUGCGUUGUUGGGUAGGGGAGCGUUCUGUAAGCCUGCGAAGGUGUCCUGUGAGGGAUGCUGGAGGUAUCAGAAGUGCGAAUGCUGACAUAAGUAACGAUAAUGCGGGUGAAAAGCCCGCUCGCCGGAAGACCAAGGGUUCCUGUCCAACGUUAAUCGGGGCAGGGUGAGUCGACCCCUAAGGCGAGGCCGAAAGGCGUAGUCGAUGGGAAACGGGUUAAUAUUCCCGUACUUGGUGUUACUGCGAAGGGGGGACGGAGAAGGCUAUGUUGGCCGGGCGACGGUUGUCCCGGUUUAAGCGUGUAGGCUGGUUUUCCAGGCAAAUCCGGAAAAUCAAG